AUGAAAGGAUCAGGAGAGUGCAUAGGACUAUGCCACCGAAGGGGCUCGCGCAAGGAACUCUCAGGUAAAGGAACUGAUCCCGGACG
rnacentral:ncRNA from 2 species